rnacentral:rRNA from 1 species
UGCCAGCAGCCGCGGUAAUACGGAGGGUGCAAGCGUUAAUCGGAAUUACUGGGCGUAAAGCGCGCGUAGGUGGUUUGAUAAGUAGACUGUGAAAUCCCCGGGCUUAACCUGGGAACUGCAGUCUAAACUGUCUCACUCGAGAUCAGUAGAGGGAGGUGGAAUUCCUGGUGUAGCGGUGAAAUGCGUAGAUAUCAGGAAGAACACCGGUGGCGAAGGCGACCUCCUGGACUGCAUCUGACACUGAGGUGCGAAAGCGUGGGGAGCGAACAGGAUUAGAUA